rnacentral:rRNA from 1 species
AGGACGAACGCUGGCGGCGUGCUUAACACAUGCAAGUCGAACGGUAAGGCCCCUUCGGGGGUACACGAGUGGCGAACGGGUGAGUAACACGUGGGUAAUCUGCCCUGCACUUCGGGAUAAGCCUGGGAAACUGGGUCUAAUACCGGAUAUGAACUCCUGCCGCAUGGUGGGGGUUGGAAAGUUUUUCGGUGCAGGAUGAGCCCGCGGCCUAUCAGCUUGUUGGUGGGGUAAUGGCCUACCAAGGCGACGACGGGUAGCCGGCCUGGAGAGGGUGAUCGGCCACACUGGGACUGAGACACGGCCCAGACUCCUACGGGAGCAGCAGUGGGAAUAUGCACAAUGGGCAAAGCCUGAUGCAGCGACGCCGCGUGGGGAUGACGGUCUUCGGAUUGUAACCCUUUCACGGUAGGACGAAGCGCAAGUGACGGUACCUGACAGAAAACGCACCGGACUAACUACGUGCCAGCAGCCGAC